rnacentral:lncRNA from 1 species
GUUGAGACAAAGGAAGCAGAAAUGAGCCUGGGAUCACAGUCUGCGCUGAGCAGCAUGGAGCAAACAGGGCGUCCCCUUCUCAGUGACAGAGGGACUUGGGCUGACCAACCGUCUUGGCUUCCCUGGGACUGUCCCAGCUCAGCACUGAAAAUCUCAUGCCGAUGAAAACCCCCGCAGGCCUGGGCAGAUGGGAACCUUGGUCACUCUUGCAGAAACUUGAGUCAGACUCGGUGCUUAUUGGGGAACUUGCUAACCUGGAAAGUAUGCAGAGAGAUCUGAAGAUGACAAUCUAUGCCUUUGCCUGACUCUUUCCACAGCUGCCUGAGACGCUAGACCCAAAGGCCAGGGCAUCAGAGAGUACCCCAGCCCAGGCAGGGUGGUCCACCUGCAAGACAACAGAGCCGCUGAGUACACCCCAACACAGAGGAGCCAGCGCUCACCGAGAGAUUUGCCAAGUGGAGUCCUUUUGAGACAUCCAAAUUUCACUGUCUUCAACUUAUUAAUGUGAAACAAAGAAUAACGUAUAUGUGUGUGUAAACACGAAUAGUAACAGCUUAUAUUUGUAAACAAUGUGCCGUGCGCCCAGCACUACAUUAAGCAGUCUCCAUGCAGCACCUCCAUUAAUCCUGGGGAGCACUGUACCCACUUCAAGAGGCCUUUAGAAGAGCAAGUAACAAAAACUGGUGGAAAAAAAGCACACAUUCAACAGGAAGCAACAUCUAGAGACCUUUCUGCCUUCCAGGAUACAAAAAGAAAACAGUUCAUAAACAACUUACAUCUAAACCAGUAAUGUUGUCUCCCUGGCUCAUAGGAGCUGAAGAAGAAUUCCAGUUACUGUAGUAAGAAUAUAAGGAUGUGGACUGGUUUGAGGAUGCUUGAGGCAUGACUAUAGCAAGUACUGCGCAUACAUAUGUGGACAUCGUAAGACACACUCUCUGCUUCCCCAGGCGAAAUCUGAAUUCCAUGAUCUACACACAGAUGACACCAAAAUCGGAACAGCAAUGUCCACCCUUCUCCCGAGCCCUAGGUCGGUGCCUCUGUCCACCUGUGUCUCCUGAAACUUCAACACAGACUUCAAAUGGAGUGGCAGAAAACCAGAUUCCUUAGGGAAAGGAAGGUCUCCCAGACGGCAGGAGCGGCAGGCCUUAGGGGCAGCCGCAGGGGCUCGGGAGUCUGAACAUACCCGGUUUGAAUUCAGACUCUGGCACGCCCCAUGCGAUCAUAACAUAGUGCUGCACGUCUCAAGCCACCUAUAAAAACGGGGACAAUAACAAUAUCUGCCUCGGGGUUAAUGGAUUAGAUGUGUCGGUCCAUAGACGUUGCUGGCCACAUAGUUAAGUGCCGGACUGCCUUCCCUGUUGUUAGUUUGUAACUUUCGCUCCGGCCCCCGCAGCCUCGCGCCUGCCUUCCCUCCACUGUCCUCAGCCAAGGUGUAGUAAAGCGUCUCCGAACGCGGCGCGACCCUCGCCCACGCCCGCUCGCGGGGGGACCGCACCGCCCCAGGGGUCCUCGCUAGGGGUUCCCGGAGAAGGGGUGGGAGAUGGGGGUGCGGGGGGGCACAGGAGCGCGGGCCAGCACCCAGACCUGCUCGGUACCGGGGACCCAGACCCGAGGAUGCCGGGCGGCCAAGGCCCCGCUACCCUGGCCGGCUCCGGGCGGAGGAAGAAGAGGAGGCGCCCAGACUGGAUACCCGCCUGGACCCGGAGCCGCGGCACCACCCCCAGCCCGCCC